CGGCGAAGCGCUGCCAAAUUUACCAAAAACACAGCCAUCAACUACCUUGUGUUCCCAAGAGAAAUCAGUGCCAAGUUGGUGAUUUUGAGAGAUGAUUCCGACCAGAUACAAGAGUGUUAAGAAAAUAACCCAAGAUGUAUUGAUAGAUCUCGUUGCAAGAAAGACACAGCAACUUUCGGAUCUCUAUUACGAGAGCCAUAUUGUAGAGCGAUUUCCGGUUGAUACAGAAGGAGUUAGGUGACAUUCUUUAUAUUUUUAAAAAUCUGACGUUCCCAGCUUUCCAUAGACACUAAGAACACUCCAUUAAAAGUUCACAGAGCUAUAUUGAGAAGAGAAUUCUCGUCGCUACAGAAGGAUCUAGAUGACAACAUUAUUAUUGUUAGAAAUAUGACGUUCCCAGCUUUCUAAAGACACCAAGAACACUUAGUUACAAAGUACGAU